CAAAGGUCUCGAAACGCGUGGACGCCGUGACUUACCAUAGGGCACACUGCCAUAUUCUCGUUUAAUCUAAGAAAUCGGUCAGCAAAGAAUAUUCUUUUUACAAAAAAAGCUUGCAUGUCGUGUGUGGACAACACGUGGAAAGAAAACAAGUAUAUUCUCCAAGAAGAUCUCAUUCUUCAACCAUUGCAUGUACCAAGUUGAAGGAUCUAGCUAUGUUCUAUUUGGCACCUUUUGCCUUUGUAUCUCAAAGCCCCACAUGAAGUUCGAGUACAAAAAGGUCAUCAUUAUCAGGCCAAAAGUUUUAGAAAUGUUUUGAACAGAGAGAUGGAUAACGUGGGGAUCUAGAGCAUUUUCUCAGCAUUUGUCAUUUGAAACUAGAAAUUAUAUUUCUGCAGAGAUGUGAAUACUGGGUUCGAUUGAGGACAACUACUACUACUACAACAGUAGCAUUUCAUCAACGUUCUUGUGUUAGAUGAACUCUAGGAAUAGAUUGUUUUAUUCUUCAAAAAACAAAUCACCAAGAAAGAUAACAUCUUAAAUUCACCUAUCCUGGCAAAAUGUGAAGUUAAAACGAAAAAUUAUUCAAAGUGUGCGCAAGGCUAAGGACGGUGCCGGACGUUUGAAAACCUUUGGACGCAACUUAACCAAUAGUGACCGCUAUUAAAGAAGUUCUGUAUCAAACU